rnacentral:rRNA from 1 species
UACGUAGGGGGCUAGCGUUGUCCGGAUUUAUUGGGCGUAAAGAGCGUGUAGGCGGCCAGAUAGGUCUGCUGUGAAAACUCGAGGCUCAACCUCGAGCUGUCGGCGGAAACCAUCCGGCUAGAGUCCGGAAGAGGAGAGUGGAAUUCCCGGUGUAGCGGUGAAAUGCGUAGAUAUCUGGAGGAAUACCGGUGGCGAAGGCGGCAUCCUGGACCGGCAUUGACGCUGAGGAGCGAAAGCCAGGGGAGGCAAACGGG